rnacentral:tRNA from 1 species
GCCUUCGUGGUGUAGUGGUCAGCACGCUGGACGCGUAACCUAAAUGUCCAUGGUUCGAUUCCCGGCUAAGGCG